rnacentral:rRNA from 1 species
UACGUAGGGCGCAAGCGUUGUCCGGAAUCAUUGGGCGUAAAGAGCGUGUAGGCGGCUUGGUAAGUCCGCUGUGAAAGUCCAGGGCUCAACCCUGGAAUGCCGGUGGAAACUGUCAAGCUUGAGUCCGGAAGAGGCGAGUGGAAUUCCUGGUGUAGCGGUGAAAUGCGCAGAUAUCAGGAGGAACACCAAUGGCGAAGGCAGCUCGCUGGGACGGUACUGACGCUGAGACGCGAAAGCGUGGGGAGCAAACAGG